rnacentral:rRNA from 1 species
GUCGAGAAUCUUUCACAAUGGGGGCAACCCUGAUGGAGCGACGCCGCGUGGAGGAUAAGGUCUUCGGAUUGUAAACUCCUGUCAUGCGUGAACAAGGUUGCUUGGUUAAUACCUGGGCAAAUUGAUGGUAACGCAAGAGGAAGAGACGGCUAACUCUGUGCCAGCAGCCGCGGUAAUACAGAGGUCUCAAGCGUUGUUCGGAAUCACUGGGCGUAAAGGGUGCGUAGGUGGCGUGGUAAGUCAGAUGUGAAAGCCCGGGGCUCAACCUCGGAACUGCAUCCGAUACUGCCAUGCUAGAGUACUGGAGAGGUGACUAGAAUUCUCGGUGUAGCAGUGAAAUGCGUAGAUAUCGAGAGGUAUACCAAAGGCGUAGGCAGGUCACUGGACAGUUACUGACACUGAGGCACGAAGGCCAGGGGAGCGAACGGGAUUAGAAACCCCAGUAGUCC